GGUGUAGGCGGCCAAGUAAGUCCGAUGUGAAAUCCCUCGGCUUAACCGAGGAAGUGCAUCUGAAACUGCUUGGCUUGAGUAUGGGAGAGGAAGGCGGAAUUCCCGGUGUAGCGGUGACAUGCGUAGAUAUCGGGAGGAACACCUGUGGCGAAGGCGGCCUUCUGGCCCAAUACUGACGCUGAGACCCGAAAGCGUGGGGAGCAAACAGGAUUAGAUACCCUGGUAGUCCACGCCGUAAACGUUGGGUACUAGGUGUGGGAGGUUUAAUACCUUCUGUGCCGCAGCUAACGCAUUAAGUACCCCGCCUGGGGAGUACGGUCGCAAGAUUAAA
rnacentral:rRNA from 1 species